UUCGACCAGGCUGACGGACUGAAAAGAUUUAAUGCCUCGGAUCCAAACAAGCUUCUCCCUAGCAAUGUACCUGAAGGCUCUUUUAUCAUCACAGAGCACACUCCUAUGUCAAAUUUGUUCUCAUGCCUUUGGUUCAAUGAAGUUGAUUGGUUCACUCCCCGUGAUCAACUAAGUUUUGCAUAUACAUAUCAAAAGAUGAGAAGGGUGAAUCCUGGCAAACGGUUUCGCCUUAAUAUGUUCAAGGACUGUGAGAGGAGAGCCAUAGCUAAGCAA